UUCACUUAGAAUUUUCUGACU
ensembl:piRNA 21ur-6506 ncRNA